GGGGGACGAUGAAGACAGGCCUCUUGACAGAAGAAUGACAGUGAUAGGAGACUUCCUUCCUGCAACAAAUCAAGCCUGUCACAGAAAUUAGAAAAGAAGGAAAAAGAGUAUUCUUUUGUGGACAUGGUGUCAAAAACAACCUGAGCAUCUACCAUCAGGAGAGUGGGUAGAUGAAAUGUGUGCAUGUACUCCGUGGGAUAGUACACAGCCAUGAGAAGCAGUGGAUGCAAGUGCCUAGAACGAUAUGGAUUGUGCUUGAAAAA